UUUAUGGAGAGUUUGAUCCUGGCUCAGAGUGAACGCUGGCGGCGUGCCUAAUACAUGCAAGUCGAACGAUGAAGCUUCUAGCUUGCUAGAAUGCUGAUUAGUGGCGCACGGGUGAGUAACGCAUAGGUCAUGUGCCUCUUAGUUUGGGAUAGCCAUUGGAAACGAUGAUUAAUACCAGAUACUCCCUACGGGGGAAAGAUUUAUCGCUAAGAGAUCAGCCUAUGUCCUAUCAGCUUGUUGGUAAGGUAAUGGCUUACCAAGGCUAUGACGGGUAUCCGGCCUGAGAGGGUGAACGGACACACUGGAACUGAGACACGGUCCAGACUCCUACGGGAGGCAGCAGUAGGGAAUAUUGCUCAAUGGGGGAAACCCUGAAGCAGCAACGCCGCGUGGAGGAUGAAGGUUUUAGGAUUGUAAACUCCUUUUGUUAGAGAAGAUAAUGACGGUAUCUAACGAAUAAGCACCGGCUAACUCCGUGCCAGCAGCCGCGGUAAUACGGAGGGUGCAAGCGUUACUCGGAAUCACUGGGCGUAAAGAGCGCGUAGGCGGGAUAGUCAGUCAGGUGUGAAAUCCUAUGGCUUAACCAUAGAACUGCAUUUGAAACUACUAUUCUAGAGUGUGGGAGAGGUAGGUGGAAUUCUUGGUGUAGGGGUAAAAUCCGUAGAGAUCAAGAGGAAUACUCAUUGCGAAGGCGACCUGCUGGAACAUUACUGACGCUGAUUGCGCGAAAGCGUGGGGAGCAAACAGGAUUAGAUACCCUGGUAGUCCACGCCCUAAACGAUGGAUGCUAGUUGUUGGAGGGCUUAGUCUCUCCAGUAAUGUAGCUAACGCAUUAAGCAUCCCGCCUGGGGAGUACGGUCGCAAGAUUAAAACUCAAAGGAAUAGACGGGGACCCGCACAAGCGGUGGAGCAUGUGGUUUAAUUCGAAGAUACACGAAGAACCUUACCUAGGCUUGACAUUGAGAGAAUCCGCUAGAAAUAGUGGAGUGUCUAGCUUGCUAGACCUUGAAAACAGGUGCUGCACGGCUGUCGUCAGCUCGUGUCGUGAGAUGUUGGGUUAAGUCCCGCAACGAGCGCAACCCCCUUUCUUAGUUGCUAACAGGUUAUGCUGAGAACUCUAAGGAUACUGCCUCCGUAAGGAGGAGGAAGGUGGGGACGACGUCAAGUCAUCAUGGCCCUUACGCCUAGGGCUACACACGUGCUACAAUGGGGUGCACAAAGAGAAGCAAUACUGCGAAGUGGAGCCAAUCUUCAAAACACCUCUCAGUUCGGAUUGUAGGCUGCAACUCGCCUGCAUGAAGCUGGAAUCGCUAGUAAUCGCAAAUCAGCCAUGUUGCGGUGAAUACGUUCCCGGGUCUUGUACUCACCGCCCGUCACACCAUGGGAGUUGUGUUUGCCUUAAGUCAGGAUGCUAAAUUGGCUACUGCCCACGGCACACACAGCGACUGGGGUGAAGUCGUAACAAGGUAACCGUAGGUGAACCUGCGGUUGGAUCACCUCCUUUCUAGA
rnacentral:rRNA from 1 species